rnacentral:misc_RNA from 1 species
GGAAGUAAAAGCCGUAACAAGGUUUCCGUAGGUGAACCUGCGGAAGGAUCAUUAUUGUAUAACCGAGGUGCGAGGGCUGUCGCUGACCCGAAAGGUCGUGCACGCCCGAGUGCCCUCACACGCAUCCAUCUCACCCCUAUGUGCACCACCGCGUGGGUCCCCCUUUGGCUUGUUCGGAGGGGGGCUUACGUUUUCACACAAACUUUGUAUGCAGUGUAGAAUGUAUUUUUUGUUUUCGCGAUCACGCAAUCAAUACAACUUUCAACAACGGAUCUCUUGGCUCUC